AAAAGAAGUAAAUUUAGGUCAGCUGAUUAUGUUAAAAGGAGAGUAGUGCGUUAUAUCUUCUAGUAUGUUCCGUUGAUUGCGAUGCUUUGCUACAUAAUGCAAUGCAAAUUAAUGUUUAAAACCCUGAUUUUGCAGAAUGAUGGAAGAGAAAGAGAAAUUAGAUAGUUACAAAGUUGGAUCUUUGCCUACUGUAAUAUAUAUACCUGAUUUCAUCACAGAUAGUGAACAAAGCUUUCUUCUUAGCAAUAUAUAUGGAGCCCCUGCAUCAAAGUGGAAGUUGUUGAAGAAUAGGAGGUUACAGAAUUGGGGUGGCGUUGUCCAUGAGAAGGGCCUUCUACCUCAACCAUUGCCUCCAUGGUUAACAAAUCUUACACAAAAGAUAUCAGAAGAAUCAAGACUAUUUCCAUCAGCAAUCAAUCAUGUUCUCAUUAAUGAGUACUUACCUAACCAAGGCAUAAUGCCACAUCAAGAUGGUCCAGCUUACUUUCCAGUUGUAGCUAUUCUUUCACUCGGAUCGCCUGUCGUCAUGGACUUUACACCUCAUGCUAGAUUUAAACUAGAUCCGCAAGAUGUUAAUGGCAAAGAUUCUGAUGGAGGAGAAGAUAAAAGGCUUGAUGAUGAUUACCUCCCAUUCUCUGUUCUAUUGAUGCCUCGCAGUCUACUGAUAUUCAAGGAUAAGGCAUACUCAGAUUAUUUGCAUGGUAUUAAAGAUUGUGCGGUACAAUGCUAUGAUGGGGCUGUAAAUGAAAUGGAAGCUUUGAAACACAAUGAAUCAGAUAGACCCUAUUUUGGCUCAGAGGAAUCAGUGGAAACAAUGGGGAAGGAAGAGAGAUUGGACUUUGGGGAAAAGCAGAAAUUGCCACACGUGUAUCAACCAACUGAAACUGACGUGUGAUUUUCCGCCGAAAAAAAGACAGAACUGGUGUUUACUUUGACAUGAAAGUGACACGUGGAGGAACUGUGGGAAGAGAAGUUGGAAUUCUUGGAGUCUUAAUUAAAGUGGUAUUGGUCAGAAGGACUUACACUGAAAGCCGGAAACUUUGUGCAUUGGGGAUUUUCUUCUAGAUUAGAAUAGAUAUUUA